rnacentral:rRNA from 1 species
CCUACGGGUGGCAGCAGUGAGGAAUAUUGGUCAAUGGGCGUAAGCCUGAACCAGCCAAGUCGCGUUAGUGAUGAAGGUUCUAUGGAUCGUAAACCUCUUUUAUAAGGGAAUAAAGUGCGGGACGUGUCCCGUUUUGUAUGUACCUUAUGAAUAAGGAUCGGCUAACUCCGUGCCAUCAGCCGCGGUAAUACGGGGGAUCCGAUCUUUAUCCGGAUUUAUUGUGUUUAAAGGGUGCGUAGGAGUCCUUUAAGUCAGCGGUGAAAGUUUGUGUCUCAACCAUAGAAUUGCCGUUGAAACUGGGAGGCUUGAGUAUGUUUGAGGCAGGAGGAAUGCGUGGUGUAGCGGUGAAAUGCUUAGAUAUCACGCAGAACCCCGAUUGCGAAGGCAGCCUGCCAAGCCAUGACUGACGCUGAUGCACGAAAGCGUGGGGAUCAAACAGGAUUAGAUACCCCAGUAGUC